GACAGAGGUGCCGAGCGUUAGGCGGAAUCACUGGGCUUAAAGCGUGUGUAGGCGGAUCUGUAAGUACCUUGUGAAAUCCCCCGGCUCAACCGGGGGACUGCCUGGGAUACUGGACGUCUCGAGGGAGGUAGGGGCGCGCGGAACUUCCGGUGGAGCGGUGAAAUGCGUAGAUAUCGGAAGGAACGCCGGUGGCGAAAGCGGCGCGCUGGACCUCUGCUGACGCUGAGGCGCGAAAGCCAGGGGAGCGAACGGG
rnacentral:rRNA from 1 species